CCNGCCAUGCCGCGUGCAGGAAGAAUGNCCUAUGGGUAGUAAACUGCUUUUAUACGGGAAGAAAAAAGAGUACGUGUACUCUACUGACGGUACCGUAAGAAUAAGGACCGGCUAACUCCGUGCCAGCAGCCGCGGUAAUACGGAGGGUCCGAGCGUUAUCCGGAAUUAUUGGGUUUAAAGGGUCCGUAGGCGGGCUGAUAAGUCAGGGGUGAAAGUUUGCAGCUCAACUGUAAAAUUGCCUUUGAUACUGUUGGUCUUGAGUUAUGGUGAAGUUGCCGGAAUAUGUAGUGUAGCGGUGAAAUGCAUAGAUAUUACAUAGAACACCGAUUGCGAAGGCAGGUGACUAACCAUAUACUGACGCUGAUGGACGAAAGCGUGGGGAGCGAACAGGAUUAGAUACCCUGGUAG
rnacentral:rRNA from 1 species